UUUCUUCUUCUUCCAGAAAGUGGUAAUUACUUCUUCAUGUUCAGUGCCUCUCAUUGUUAGCGCACGCAUUGACUCUAAAUUUGUCCAAUAAUAAAUUUUAUGCCUCGUCAAUUUAUCGAGUUGCAUGGACUUUUGCUUAGCUAUCCUUAUUUAAUUUUUGAGGACAUAUGAGGCCUAUGCGUUUGAGAAGUCAUUUGUUGCUUUGCAUUUUAACAUUUCAAUUUUGAGGAAAAGGAGCUAAGAGUGAAAUCUAACCCAAUUACGGCUUUUGUUAAUUAAAUUUUGUUCUACGUACGGGCAAUUGGGGUUGUAUUUCGGCAAGGUUUUCUUUAACUGUUUUUAUUUGUUUGUUAAAUGGAAAAAGGUGUGCAUCAAUCUCCUCUCAUGAUUCUUUCUUGGAUUGCAAAUUUGCAAUACUUAUAGGAACUUGCUUCUCUUCCAGUGCUUGAACAAAUAAAAUAUGUACAAUCUUGCUUAAUGGAACCUCUCAUGUAGAAAAUGAAAUUUGAUUAUUAAUUUCUUGGUUGUUGAGAUUGACAAUUUUCCUCGAGCCAACUACUUUUUUUUUGGAGAGGAGCUAAACUGCAUACUAUAUAGUACUGGGUUCUGGUUUUUUCUGCGAUGAAUAUGUCUCCAACUUAUCUUCCUAACUGCUUUUUUGAAGUCUUUUAUAAACUGUAAUUUCUUGAGUUUACGUGUUUCCCAAGAGGAGCAUGUGGUCUUGUUCAAGCAUUUGUGGCAUUUACCAAUCAUAUAUUAGUUUGUUGACGAUUUACCAAUCAUGUAUUAGUUUGUUGACAAUGGUGUCUCGCUUAAUCAGUAUAUGAGGUAUGGACUUCUAGGUGAGUCUGUUUUGGUGCUUUUUCUCCUUAGUGUUUAUAAUUUUUCCAAGAAAUCUAAAAUUCAACCGUUCCAAGUAUAUUCUGUUCUGUUUUUGCAUAUAGGGAUAACUUAACUGCUUUACAUGGCUGAAGUUUCAUCAGCUAACAUUAGGGAUGCUAUUGUUACUGUCAGUUAUAUAUAUAAAUGAAGUAUGUAAUAGAAGGGAAAUAUUAUGUUUAGUUAUUUUGUCAAUGCUUGUUUUUGUACAACAAUGGCAGCUAUUAAGUUUUAGGCUGAUGUUAUAGUUCAACAGGAAAUCAUUGCCAAACCAAUUUUGGUGGAUCGAGUCUUCUGCUUUAAAUGCACGGAAUUUCAGAAUACACUUUGGUGGAAAUUGGAAGGCCAGUUCUCAGAGGCUGGGGGAUAAGAUGAUUUGUACCGCUUACAUGGAUAACAUAGAUGAUUCAGAUCCCAGGUUCUUUAGAACGAGGCAAAAUAGUGGUGCUCG
rnacentral:misc_RNA from 1 species